AAGGGAAGUUGGCAAAUUGGAUCCAUAACUUUGGGAGAAGGAUUGGCUCUGGGGACCGAGUCAGACAGGCCGAGAUCAGAUACGUGCCGGUCCAUUUGGGGGCUGGUUUCUUUGCUGCUUUGUGUGCUUCGGUGCGCGUUGUGAUGAGGUUAUUGAACUCUGGCCCGGGUCGAUCGUGGGCGGUUUCAGCUGUAAGUGUCGUGCAGCUAGCAACGCGCGAGGGCAUGUUCCACGUUGUGUCAAGCGGCUGUACUUCCAUGGUCUGGCGCGCGACGGCUAACUCAGAACUGCCACGGACCAGGGAAAUCCGACUGUCUAAUUAAAACAAAGCAUUGCGAUGUCCACUGAUUGGUUUUGACGCAAUGUGAUUUCUGCCCAGUGCUCUGAAUGUCAAAGUGAAGAAAUUCAACCAAGUGCGGGUAAAUGGCGGGAGUAACUAUGACUCUCUUAAGGUACAUUCGAUUGUCCCCAUCCGUGUUCUUGUUCACUACAAUGCUACUCAAAUAAUAACAAUACUUUACUAUCACU
rnacentral:ncRNA from 1 species